CUUUUACAUGCUUGUUGAAUUAUAAGGAGCUGUAGCUUGGUUUUCUUUCUUCCUUUAAUACAGCUGCAUUCUUCAGCAAAGAAUCUAUAACAAAAGACAAACACGUUGAUUUAAAUAUAUAGGCCAUUUUUACUGAAUAUCGAAAGAAGUAAACACAUAGAUUUUUUUCCCCCUAAGUUUCUGGGUGUAUGAGGUGCUUGGUGAACAGAGCAGCAAUUUUGAUCAAUAGUUGAAUUUGAGAAAUUUCUUGAAUUACCAGUACCAGAAAUAGUAAUUGAAAUUACCAGAAAUAUUUCACCUCUUCAGAUUUUCCUUCAUUUUCCUUUUUCCUUGAUUUUUCUCAUUUAAAGAAAAAAAUCAAUUGUAUAUUACAUAUAAGUCUAUAAGCUGUCUCAAGUUAUUUUUCAGUAGGGAAGGUAAGAAGACAAGAGGUUUCUUCUCCUAGAAAAGAAACUUCAGCAAGGAGUCUUGGCAGUCCUUUGCUCCAUGAAAGGGGUAAUAUAGAGAAGACUUUCUGGGAUCUGAAAGAAGAAUUUCAUAGAAUAUGCAUGCUAGCAAAAGCACAGAA
rnacentral:sRNA from 1 species